rfam:Aedes albopictus isolate Foshan contig28623, whole genome shotgun sequence.
UGUUCUGUGACUUAGUUGGUUAAAGCACCGGUCUAGCUAACACGUAGUUGUGGGUUCAAAUCCCACCAAAACGC